GGGUGAAAUCAUACCAGCUGUAAUGCACCGGAUCCCAUCAGAACUCCACAGUUAAACGUGCUUAGUGGAGAGUAGUACUGGUAUGGGUGACCUCCUGGGAAGUUCUCGUGUUGCACCGC
rnacentral:rRNA from 1 species